rnacentral:rRNA from 1 species
CAGUAGCCGCGGGAAUACGAAGGGUGCAAGCGUUAAUCGGAAUUACUGGGCGUAAAGCGUGCGUAGGCGGUUUGUUAAGUCUGUUGUGAAAUCCCCGGGCUCAACCUGGGAAUGGCAAUGGAUACUGGCAAGCUAGAGUGUGUCAGAGGAUGGUGGAAUUCCCGGUGUAGCGGUGAAAUGCGUAGAUAUCUGGAGGAAUACCGGUGGCGAAGGCGGCCAUCUGGGACAACACUGACGCUGAUGCACGAAAGCGUGGGGAGCAAACAGGAUUAGAUACCCCAGUAGUCCCUGUCUCUUAUAA